rnacentral:tRNA from 1 species
GCCUGGGUGGCUCAAUCGGUUAAGCAUCUGACUUCAGCUCAGGUCAUGAUCUCAUGGUUUGUGGGUUUGAGCCCUGCAUCGGGCU